CAUCCUCAACCUGCUUCGUUCUAUCGAACCAAGUAGGCUUGGAAUUUGGAGGUUUUUCUGCUGGCUUCCUCUGUGAAGCCAGCUCCUCUUAAAUCUAUCAGUGGGAUCCGCUUUGCUAGAUCCUCGACGUUGAUAAGAUGUUUCUACGUCUUGGGUUUCGCUCGGGAAAGGACCUGCUUCUAACCGUCCCCCCCAUCGGGGACAAUGUUCGAGAGCCGAUCGCCCUUCACGGGGUGGGAAGCUUUUCGACCCAU
rnacentral:misc_RNA from 1 species